rnacentral:rRNA from 1 species
ACUCCUACGGGAGGCAGCAGUGGGGAAUAUUGGACAAUGGGGGCGAACCCUGAUCCAGCCAUGCCGCGUGAGUGAAGAAGGCCCUAGGGUCGUAAAGCUCUUUCAACUGUGAAGAUAAUGACGGUAGCAGUAGAAGAAACCCCGGCUAACUCCGUGCCAGCAGCCGCGGUAAUACGGAGGGUGCGAGCGUUAAUCGGAAUUACUGGGGCGUAAAGCGCAUGCAGGCGGCCUGUUAAGUCAGAUGUGAAAGCCCGGGGCUUAACCUCGGAAUUGCAUUUGAAACUGGCAGGCUAGAGUCUUGUAGAGGGGGGUAGAAUUUCAGGUGUAGCGGUGAAAUGCGUAGAGAUCUGAAGGAAUACCAGUGGCGAAGGCGGCCCCCUGGACCAAAGACUGACGCUCAGAUGCGAAAGCGUGGGGAGCAAACAGGAUUAGAUACCCUGGUA